GAUGAACGCUGGCGGCGUGCCUAAUACAUGCAAGUCGAGCGAACAGACGAGGAGCUUGCCCCUCUGACGUUAGCGGCGGACGGGUGAGUAACACGUGGAUAACCUACCUAUAAGACUGGGAUAACUUCGGGAAAUCGGAGCUAAUACCGGAUAAUAUAUUGAACCGCAUGGUUCAAUAGUGAAAGACGGUUUUGCUGUCACUUAUAGAUGGAUCCGCGCCGCAUUAGCUAGUUGGUAAGGUAACGGCUUACCAAGGCAACGAUGCGUAGCCGACCUGAGAGGGUGAUCGGCCACACUGGAACUGAGACACGGUCCAGACUCCUACGGGAGGCAGCAGUAGGGAAUCUUCCGCAAUGGGCGAAAGCUUGACGGAGCAACGCCGCGUGAGUGAUGAAGGUCUUCGGAUCGUAAAACUCUGUUAUUAGGGAAGAACAAAUGUGUAAGUAACUAUGCACGUCUUGACGGUACCUAAUCAGAAAGCCACGGCUAACUACGUG
rnacentral:rRNA from 1 species